CGGUUUAGAGGUUGAAAAGUAUCCGGCUCCAACGCGCCACCGGUAUUGGUGGGUCGAGAAAUGUGGGCGACAUCCGCCGGUCCCACCUAAACUG
rnacentral:ncRNA from 12 species